rnacentral:lncRNA from 1 species
AUUCGUAUUCUAUCUACCAUCUUUCCAGCUUCUGUCUUACGCCUCCGCCUAAAGUAUGCCUCCUUUUGUCAAUCGUUGCUCCAUCCUUCUCUUGCUUUAGGUGAAAAAUAUUGUACCAUGGUUGACUCUGGACUGAGCAUUUCUCAGCUUGCAGAAGUGAGUAAAACUUUCUUCCUCUCUAUUUUGUUUGCUUCUUUUUAAUGCUUUAGUCUAUUCUUUCUAUAUGAUUUUUUAGUUGUGCUCUCCGAUGGAUGGGAUGAUGUUCUUUCUUUUGUGUUGCUUUGAGGGAACCAGUCAACGAACAACUUUUACCUCCUCUGAGUAAGCUUAAAAUGGACCAUCUUUGUCUCUUUCUGGUGUGUUUUUGUAUUUUUCUUAACCUAAAGAUCCCAAAUCUACAAAUAUGGCUGGUAUGGAGAUAAUGGAAUACUCAGAACCAUAAAUAUUUGGAGAGUAGCAUAUUUUUCAGGUUUAUCAACUCUAAUAUGACCAAGUGAUCCUCUCAUUUUGCUUUGAGUCCUUCUUGUUGGCUGUUGUAGUGUAGGAUAAGUAGUGGUUUCACUUCUUUUUUCGCUAUCUUGGCUUGUAAAUGUACUGCAUGUGAUGAGCUAAGCUGUAGCCUUCCAGCCCUUUUCAUCCUUUUGAUGGUGACAAUCUUAGAUAUGAACAUUGUAACUUAUCACUGUUGAUUAUGUAUUUGCCCUUUGAUUUAAGCUGCUAAAAUUCUGUGAAUGUUAAAUCGUUUUUGGCUAAUACCAAAUUAGCUAAGUAGUCAUCUAACUGAUUCCCCUCCCUGAUUAUAUGUUGAUACUGCACUUUCUUUCUUGACAUUAAAUGUCAUAUUUGUUGCAUUGCAUCUGAUAUACUUCAUGGACAUUUCCAUUCUCUUUUUAAAAUCUUUUGCAUUGUUAAAGUGUUUAUUUGAAUAAUCACCUUGUUAUGUUAUGUCUGACUCUAAUGUAUGACUGCCUGUAAAAUUGUUGUUGCUUCUGCAUCCACAUUGUUAGUAUCUUCAAUACUAGCUCAUUUUGCAUACAAUAAGUCCCCUGCACAUCUCUAAGACAAAAUUCAUAUGAAUUAGCUCCUGGAUUCCCCCCUAGAUGCUCUAUCAACAUUGUAUUUCAUCCCUCCUUCUUAUAGAAAUGCCCAUAUAACUUUAGUGACUUUAACUUUUGUCUUUAGUUGUUCAAACUCCUUAAGUAUCCUUGGUCAUUGAUAGGAAAAAUCCAAAUUUGGUUUCCUUACUUUCUGCAACAUCCGUAGAUCCCUUGUAAUGUUGUAUAUCAUUCUCUGUCCAAUGAUAUUUUUAUCUUUAUGCUUGAUAUUAUUUCUUCUCCUCCAUAAUUCCUAGAAGAUGAUACUAGGAAUAGCCUGAAAAUUUGUCUUUUUCCCUCUACCUAACAUUUGCAUUCCACCAUGUGAGAAUGGUUUUCCUCAAGUUUAAUCUUUGUAUGUUCAUACCUAUAAAAGAGGAAAGUAGGACCAAGUCAUGUUAGCAAUAUCUGUUCUCAAGAACACAUGAGACAUUGUCUCUUGUGCUGGGUUUGCACAAUACUAGCACUUAUAUGUUCCUUGAACACCCUAUCUUCUUAUAUUGCUAUCCACUAAAACUUUUUUGUUCCACAUCCUCCAUAUGAAAAAGGCUAUUUUGAAAGGUAGUUCUUCUAUCCAUAUAUUUUUGUAGGUCCUAUUAAUCUUUCAUUUUGUCUAAUAUAUGACAAGUUGAUUUUACUAUAAAAUUGACUCUUGAUUCAAGACUCCGUCUAGGUUUAUCCCCCUCUUCUUUCUGGAUUGGUGGCCUUAUCUUUGAUAACAUAUGAGCAGUAAUUUCAAAUAGAAAUACCUCUUUAAUCAUCUAUUCAUUUCAUGCUCUGUAUUGAUAUCCCGCAUCCCACUUCUUGCUAUCCCGUAUAAUAGUGUACAAGUCAAGCACUCCAAUUAUCAAACCACAGAUGGGCAUUUCCACUCUUGGUUUGCCAUAUUAUCAGAUGCUCUAUUAGAUCCCUGGCUUGUAAUAUUUUCUUCCACACUUAUGAACCUCCUGGUCCAGUUCUCCACAUUACCAGUUUGGGAUGAUCUUUUCUGCAUUAUUUGUUGUGUAUAUACAUACUCUAUAUGGACUUUCUAGUCUUGAAAUUCCACCAUAGCUUACAAAAAAGAGCAAUAGACAUAUCUAGAAGCAUUCUAAAACUCAGUCUUCUUUUUUCUUCAGGUAAACACAAGGUUUUUCCCUUAAUCCAAAUCUCCCUCUUCUCCCUAUACAAAUGCUUGAGAAAAAAUAAAAAAAUACUCUCUCAAUUGUGUUCAUAACAUUUAUAAGGGGAUUCAUCACUGAAAGACAACAAAUAGGUAUAUUCUGUAAUACAUAUUUAAUUAAAUAGCUCUUCCUUCAAAAGAUAUUAGUUUUAAUUUCCAGCUCUAUAACUUGUAACUUAUUCUAUUCAUUAUUUGCUGGUAAUAAUCUUUUUUCUUCCUCAUUUAGAAAAUUGGACAGCCUAAGUAAGUGAAAGUAAAAUACUUUCUUAAAAUUCCUGUAGCUACCCCUGCCAUUACUACAGUGCCAUUAGAAACUCCUUUAUGCAAGUAAAUUGCACUUUUUUCCUAAUUAAUCUUCUGACCUGACAUUUGUUCAUACCUGUCCAAUGCUGUUGUAACCAUUUGCAAAGUGCCUAUCUCAUCCUUGUAUAAAAUAAUCAUAUUAUCUAUAAAAGCCAGAAAAUUUAUUCUAAGGCUACCUCUUGGCAUACUAAACAUCCUGAAAUCCUUUUUAAGCAGCAAAGUCUUUAGACUCCUAGAUAACACCUCUGCUGCUAGAAUAAAAAUGUAGGAAAUAAAGGACCCCCUUGUUUCAGUCUUCUUGAGGAUUUAAAAAAUCCUAAAGGCUGCCCAUUCAAGAGAAUUAAAUACCAGUUAUUCCUAACUAACCUAUACGCCAUGUCUAUUAUUGCUUCACAAAAACCCAUCUUUCUUAAAACUUUUGUAAGGAAUAACCACUCCACCCUAUCAUAUGCCUUCAUCAUAUCUAACUUAAUGACUAUGUUAGGUGGUUUACCUUUUUUCCUUAUUUUUUAGAUUAUUUCCUGCACUACCAAUACAUUUUAUGUAAUGUUUAUCCCUUGCACAAAGCCAACUUGUUCUUCUAAGAUAAUCUCUGACAACAGUCCCUUGAUUCUUUCAUGAAUAAUCUUUGAAAUAUUUUAUUCAUAAAAUUACUAAGGGAUAUGGGACUUAUGUCGGAAAAAGUAUUCACCACCCACUUUUAUGAUAAAAGAACCAAAUUAGUAUGGGUAAUGAAUCUUGGAAAUUCAAAUCUACAAAAGAAUGCUACUAUUAUUUUUGUAUGUCCUCUCCUAUAAUAUCCCAAGCAUCUUGGUAGAAGGCACAUGUCAUUCCAUCCGGACCCCAGCACUAUUUUUGUUCAAUCCCAUGACUGAAUCUUUAACCUCUUGUAGGCUUGGAACUCCUUUCAACUCCUCAUGUUGCUCAACAGAUACUAUAGUAGGCAGUUCAUCCAACAAUGAAAAAUCUUCUUCAUCCUUUUGUUUUGUGAACUGUUUCUAAAAGAACUCUACAAUAACAUUUGUAUUUUCUGUCUUGCUCUUCAAACCACAUACCUUCUUUAUUCUGAAUUUUCCUUAGUUUAAGUGUAACAACCAGAUUUUUUAUGAACUAUGUGAAAUAUGUUUUUGGUGUGAUUUGAUUAUUUUACACCUCCCCAUGGAUGUGUUGUAGUAUUUCUGGGGUGUGGGGAUGAUUGACACAAUUUUUAAUAUAUUUUGGUGUGUUUUGUGUGAUAUUAUAGUUUUGGUAGCUUUGAGAGUCUUAUAGUUGAUUUCAGUUGAUAUCUUUUAAUUCGUUUGAUGGAUGGCAGAACAAACUGUACUAGAAGAUCUGAAAUGUCUAUUGUAGGGAAGUAAUAUAGUUGGUGUGAUUUUAUGAAUUUUAAAUUAAAUUUAGACCCUCAGUUUGGAAAGUUGUGAUUUUGGAUUUUGGAGGUCAACUAUGUGAAAAUGACAUCUUUUUGAAAAUCUGAUAUCAGCAUUGAGUCUGAAGCAUCAAAUUUGAUAGGGUAGAAUAAUUUGUUUGCAUUCACAAGAUUUCAAAUGAAUUUCGAGGGCCCCGUAGAGACUGAAAUGCACCAAGUCCCAACCGGUGCACCCAUUAUCACGAUGAUCCUACCGCAAUCACAAUUGGGGCAUGCAGACAUAUGUCACAUCACAACCCUUAGUCUAUAAUUGCGACACUUGGUUCACGAUCGUGAUACCCUCUGUCAGUUAGUUAUCAUGAUCGCGGCACUUGAUCCGUGAUCGCAAUGCCUGGGUAUAUAAAUACUUGGAUUUUACCAUUUUUUAUCAUUUUUGAGACUUAGAGCUUAGGGUUAAUCAUUUUGAGCAACUUUAUCUACUUAUAAAAUUUGGGUAAGCUUCAAAACACCUAUUUCAAUUGUUUUCUUCAAUCUCUAUCAUCUAAUUAUUGUUUUAAACUUUAAUUAAGUAUGAAAUUUAUGGAUUUUAGCCUGAUGAGUGAUGAAUUUACCACUUAUUGGCACUCAACAUUCAUGCACACUACUAUGAUUUCAAUGUCUAAGUGAGACAUAUUUGUGAUUAAAUGCACUAAUUUUCACAUUUUGCAGGCAUACAGGUAUUGAUAAGGAAAGAUUUGGAUUUGAACUGAAAAGAGACAAAGAGGAAAAGUAAAGUGCACAGCUGAAGGACCAUGUACAAAUGAGGCCUAGUUACCGCAAUCGCAGAUAGUAUAGCCAGGUCAAAGGGUGUGAUCUCUGUGAUAUCAAUGCAUUCACAAUUACUAUAAUCGCAUACAAGCUAUCGUGAUCGUGUGAGAGCAGAAAAUGGUCCAAGGGCAGAAACAUAAUUUUGGCUAGCCGACCCCAAAUUCCCAUUUAAAAUAUCAAAACUCUCAUAAGAACCCAUCAUUCUAAAACCCUACCUCCCAUCCUUAGUUUAGGGUUUGGUAACUUCUUGGAGCUUGUAGCUUAAAUUUACACUAACUAAAGACAGGAUUAAAUUAGAGGAGCUGGAAGUGUAGAUUUGGCUUUGUCUAUUGAAGAUUCAUUUGAGUCUAAAGUGUGAUUUGUCCUCUCUUU